UGGCAUGCAUAACAAGCCAGUUCCGGUACCGGGCUCCUCGGACAUGGAGUGGAGCUAGAGGUGCACUUUGUUAUUCCAUCACUCAAGAGCAACUGAGGUUUCUGAUGUCCUGUGCUUUCAGUGUGUCUCAAAUGGUAGAUAUUCUACAUGUGUCCCGAUCUACAGUCAAACGUCGUCUAAGACACUUCAAUCUGUCACCUGCACCGUUAUAUUCUGACAUGUCAGACUUGCCUCUGGAUGAAAAGAUGAAGGACUUGGUGGCUGGGAACGACAAACUUGGACCGGAGGCUGUUCGAGCACAAUUAAGGGCUCCGGGUGCAUAGUCGCAGAGUGAGUGACAGCAUGCUUCGUGUUAACCCUAGGGCGGCUGCACUCAGAGCCACGAGGCUGCAUAGAAGGCUGCAUAGAAGGUCAUACCAUGUUGCUGGACCAAACUCGUAAUGGCACCUUGAUGGAAACUACAAACUGAUAGACACAAACAUCUUUAUCACUGAUGAGAAUUUGUACAUUGUAACAUCUCAAAUCGUUCAUCAACAAUUUGUUCAUCAACAAUUAACAGUUCAGUUUAGCAAGCAACGGCCCUUGAUACCAUACAUCACUCAUGUGGAGAAUAAUUGUUUUAUUGUGUUUCUGCUACUUCUGUGAUUGAUAGAAUAUCUGAAUCAUGAAUUUAACAAACAUGCUUAUAUUGAGGACAUAUGAAGGUGUAAGGUUCUUUCUAUUCUUAAUCAACCUUGUGUUAUUUUUCUUUGUGUCCUGUCUCAUUUUUGUUCAUUGAUUUCGCCUGUGUUCUUUUCUCACCUGGUCUCAUCAGCUCCCUAUUUAUUUAAGUUCUUUCUGUUUAUAUGGUUGUGAGGUAUUGUUUGGUUUUGACUGCCUACCUGUGUUUGACCAUUGCCUGCCUGCCUUCUGUGAAGCCUUAAUAAAAAUCUGCCAGGCUCUGCGUGGGAA